rnacentral:rRNA from 1 species
UACGGAGGGGGCUAGCGUUGUCCGGAAUUAUUGGGCGUAAAGAGCUCGUAGGCGGUCUGUCGCGUCUGCUGUGAAAACUCAGGGCUUAACCCUGAGCUUGCAGUGGGUACGGGCAGACUAGAGUGCGGUAGGGGAGACUGGAAUUCCUGGUGUAGCGGUGAAAUGCGCAGAUAUCGGGAGGAACACCUGAGGCGAAAGCGGGCUACUGGGCCGAUACUGACGCUGAGGCGCGAAAGCCAGGGGAGCAAACGGG